GAGACCUUGGAGCUCGCAGCAGGAGCAGGAGUUGUUCUUUUUGACUGUAUAUCGAGGGAAUUCCUACCGUCCUUCAUGCUGUGCGUAGCAUAACCUUUGAUAACGUAGUAGGCGAGACAAGUCAUGACUCAUCACAUUGAGUUUCCCCCUCUUAUACAUGACUCUUUUUAACAGGUUAUUCUUGAGAGAGAACGUGUUGUUACUUACUGUCUGCCACCAUCGUUAUGCCACCGACUCAGUUAUACAGCGUGCCAUCUAAAUAGCUGCUGUCCCUAAGGAAAUAUUUUUUAUCACAAUAUAUCUUUGGUUUUGGGUCUUACAUCCUCAGAAGUCUCAAAGUGUUUCAUGAAGAAUGGUCUAGGAAUGGAAAUAAAGGAGCAUCACGACCUGCUAGGAGCACGGGAAAAGUAGUGGUCAAUAAGGAAUGUUUUUCUCACAGAUGGAAAAUAGUUGGAAGUGUGGGGUUCACACCCCACUCUUUUUAAGAGUGCCUGGUUAUUAAUAAUGUCCAUGUGUAGACAUAAGCCUCUAAUGUUAUUCCACUGAGUAGAGCCAGG
rnacentral:lncRNA from 1 species